UCAAAGGGCUGUGAACCAUGAGUGCCAAAGGACUGUGAGAAAGAAAAAUUACAGACUUGGAAAGAAAUUCCAACAGUGUACUAAGAAGACAAUGACUGAAGGGCUCUCUCAGAAUAAUGGCAAGCGUCCCAAAAUUACAGGAAACACAUAACAAUCAAAGAUGAAUCAGACAGUCUCUAAAUAUCUUAACAAGAAGAUAACCGUCAUACUGCUUACUCCCAGCUGUCUGAGUUUACCGACGGGUGCAUACUCUUCUGCCAGUUUUACAGAAGGGGAAAUCACGGUACCCUUGUCAUAACCUCAGCCUCAAGGAGUGAGCCAAUGUGAGCACUGUAUGCAGUCAAGUCCUUGGGUGGCCUCAGCUGCACAGAGAAUCACAUGAAGCAGAGCCACACAAUCAAACCAGUAAGCAUGUAAGAUAAACUAAAUAACCAAUUUCAUCAUCUUAAGCCAUCAAGUUUUGGGGAUGGUUUGUUAUGGACCAAUAAAUACAUGUUAGGGCUUGGAGACGGUUCAGGGGAUAAAGGCACUUGCCAACAAGUUUGAUGGCUUAGAUCCAGGGACCCGCAUGGUGGAAGGAAAGAACCAACUCCAGCAAGUUGUCCAAUGAGCUCCACCUGUGUGGCCUGGCAUUCUGCCAGUGGCAUGUAUACACAUAUGCAUACCAAGUAAAUAAAGUUUUUUUAAAAAAAGGAAACUGAAAUGUCUUUGGGGAAAGAUGGAUUUCAAAAGCAAAUGUAUGGGGGAAAUACUAUUGGUGUCUAAACAUAAUAAAUGUUAAAAUGCCCUCAAUUUACUAACAGUGCUUUUAGAAACCAUUUAAAAUUAGCAUCUUAAUUAUUUUUUAAAAGGGGGAGUAAGGAAUGAACAAGAAAAUUAAAUAGAAGACUUGAAAAUGAAUUAGAAAUUAGCCAUAUAUAUGUGUGUGUGGAUAUAUAUACCUUUACAUGUAUAUAUAUGAAGUAAUGGUCAAAGAAGUGAAAAAUGCUUUUAAAACUACAUACAUUUCUGGCAGGCUAGCUCGGUAAAAAUAAAUCAGCUUGUCCAUGGGAUUGGAAAAACGUUCCUUGUCAGAUUGAGUAGGGCUGUCAUUCCUGACACAUUUCUAGGAGGACACACUCUGCACCCAAAUUGGAGAUCAUAUGCCUUUUAUUCUAACAAUUCCGGAGAAUCUUAAGGAAAUGAUUAAACUUGUGUAUAAAGGUAUGUAGCAACAUUCCAAAAAUGUCUUGUUUUGAUUUUGAGGUAGUUUCACUCUGUAGCCUGUGCUCACCUUGAAUUUAGGAUCAACGGUCUCCAUUAGGAACGGAACACAAGGAUGGAGCGAUGCGGUUUCCCACAGUGACCACUAGAUGGCAGACGUAUCCCCAGCCAACUUUUCCUCGGAGGCUCCCCAUGAACUUCAUUAGCUAGGAAGGCCUCUGUGUGAAGUCUCAGUAGCUGAGGGGGGUCUUAAUCAAGAAGGCCUGGUGACAGGAGAGCCGCAGAAGGCUCUAGCAGAAGGCUCUAACUCUUCCUGAUACUUCAUACAAUGUAUCCAUCUGCCGUUAAUGGCUACCCCAGCCUUUACUGGAGGAUGCUGCAUACGUGCUCCCACAGGCUAUGCACUGCACAGCACCCAAGGACUCACUGAUUUCAUAUGAGAAGAACCUACUAGACAGAGCUUUACUCAACCAGUAAAACUAUCAAGAUCAUCCACAAAAUGAUGGCCCAUCUUUUUCCUACCCAAGGUGAGGGCGUGUGACCUAAACCAAGCAUGUCAUGAGUCUGAACUUGAACCGUGAGCAGAAUGGGAGACUGAUUCGUCCUGGCAUGGGUGCUGUAAAGAUUGCCCGUGAUCCCUGCUACAUGGGUCUCCAGGGCUCUGCUGGUCCUGGGCCUUCCUAACACCCAGAGAUACUUUCUGUGGCCGGCAAACAAGGAUCCCCUGUGAGUCGUCUACACUUCAGACUUGCUAAGAUGGGAGCUAAAUCUCUGAGAGGGCUCUGUGUUAGGGCAAAGGCAAGUCUUCAUUCACUGAACGCUCACUUAUUAAUCCCAUCAACUUUCCAGAGACCUGUUCUGGGCCCAGCCCUGCUCUAUUAUGUUUAUUUAUUUAUUUAUUUAUUAAAAUACUUUAAUUUAUUCUUGGGGAAUUACAAAUGCAUCACAAAUCCAAUUAGUGAUGCCAGUAAGUGCAUAGUGGGGGGCCGUCCAUUGGAGUAUGGGCAACCCCCCAAGAGCCACAACCCUGAAGAAAAAGGACCCCCCCCCAGUAGCCAUUGGCUGCUAAUAGCUCCUCAACUAGGAGUGAGGCCUUGUGUGUCCCUCCCCAAUCCAUUCCAGAAUGUUGAUACGUUUAUUUUGUGUAGGCAACCACAGCUGCUGUGAGUUCAGGAGUGCAAGUGUGUGUGUGUGGGUAUGUACACACACAUGAUCCUCUGUGCACCUCUGGGAACAUGGGCAGCACAGCACACAUGCAGAGGUCAGAGGACAGCCUCUGGUGCCGGUUUUCACCUUCCCCUUGAUUGAGGCUGACUCUCCCCCUUUUCUGCUGUGUGCUCUGGGCUAGCUGUAAUUCUAGCACUUGGGAGGUAGAAGCAAGAGGAUCAAGAAGUUCAAGGUUGCCCUUGCCUAUAUAGUGCGUUUGAGGGCAGCCUGUGUUAGUAUUUAGGCAUCUGUACUGGCCUGUCCUUGGGGUUCUGACAGGAUGCGCCCUCAGCUGCAGACACUAAGAGCACCA